GACGAAUGCUGGCGGCGUGCCUAACACAUGCAAGUCGAGCGAGUAGAUCCCUUCGGGGUGAAGCUAGCGGCGGACGGGUGAGUAACACGUGGGCAACCUGCCUCAUAGAGGGGAAUAGCCUUCCGAAAGGAAGAUUAAUACCGCAUAAGAUUGUAGCUUUGCAUGAAGUAGCAAUUAAAGGAGCAAUCCGCUAUGAGAUGGGCCCGCGGCGCAUUAGCUAGUUGGUGAGGUAACGGCUCACCAAGGCGACGAUGCGUAGCCGACCUGAGAGGGUGAUCGGCCCCAUUGGGACUGAGACACGGCCCAGACUCCUACGGGAGGCAGCAGUGGGGAAUACUGCACAAUGGGGGAAACCCUGAUGCAGCAACGCCGCGUGAGUGAUGACGGCCUUCGGGUUGUAAAGCUCUGUCUUCGGGGUCGAUAAUGACGGUACCCGAGGAGGAAGCCACGGCUAACUACGUGCCAGCCGCCGCCGUAA
rnacentral:rRNA from 1 species